AGUCUAGAAAGACCUCAUCAUUGAAACUGUUCCCAGUAAUCAUAAACUUACCAUGAGAAGCUUUUCGUUAGCAUUGAUUGUGUUAACUUUGUUCACGGAUUCGUCCAACGCAUUCGAAGAGCGUAGAAUUCGUUCGCCCGUCGGAUUCUACUGUGACAUCAUGGGCAUGUAUUUUAAUUACUACAAAAAUUUGUGGUGUUUCUGCAGCAUCUACCAGAGGGUUGUUCGAUGCAAAUUCACCGAUAGAAUGAGUACAGCUUACCCGUUUCGCUAAUGGAUAGCAAAAGUUUUUUUUCCGAUGUUAAUAAGUAUCAACAUUUUGACGAACAAAAGCUUUCUCCACUUGAAGAAGAAUUAAAGAAUAAAGAAAGUAUCAGCACAGAA